UACGUAGGGGGCAAGCGUUAUCCGGAAUCACUGGGUGUAAAGGGAGCGUAGACGGCUGUGCAAGCCUGAAGUGAAAGGCGGGGGCCCAACCCCUGGACUGCUUUGGGAACUGUACGGCUGGAGUGCAGGAGAGGUAAGUGGAAUUCCUAGUGUAGCGGUGAAAUGCGUAGAUAUUAGGAGGAACACCAGUGGCGAAGGCGGCUUACUGGACUGCAACUGACGUUGAGGCCCGAAAGCGUGGGGAGCAAACAGG
rnacentral:rRNA from 1 species